GGACCCGCACAAGUAGCGGAGCAUGUGGUUUAAUUCGAAGCAACGCGAAGAACCUUACCUAAGCUUGACAUCCUUUUGACCUCUCCCUAAUCGGAGAUUUCCCUUCGGGGACAAAAGUGACAGGUGGUGCAUGGUUGUCGUCAGCUCGUGUCGUGAGAUGUUGGGUUAAGUCCCGCAACGAGCGCAACCCUUGUCUUUAGUUGCCAGCAUUAAGUUGGGCACUCUAGAGAGACUGCCAGGGAUAACUUGGAGGAAGGUGGGGAUGACGUCAAAUCAUCAUGCCCCUUAUGCUUAGGGCUACACACGUGCUACAAUGGGUGGUACAGAGGGCAGCCAAGUCGUGAGGCGGAGCUAAUCCCUUAAAGCCAUUCUCAGUUCGGAUUGUAGGCUGAAACUCGCCUACAUGAAGCUGGAGUUACUAGUAAUCGCAGAUCAGAAUGCUGCGGUGAAUGCG
rnacentral:rRNA from 2 species